AGUAUUUCAACUGCAGGGAUCGCUGUUUCAAAAGGUAAGGUGGAAGACAGCAGGGAUCACUGUUUCAAAAGGUAAGGUGGAAGACAGCAGGGAUCACUGUUUCAAAAGGUGGAAGACAGCAGGGAUCACUGUUUCAAAAGGUAAGGUGGAAGACAGUAGGGAUCACUGUUUCAAAAGGUAAGGUGGAAGACAGUAGGGAUCACUGUUUCAAAAGGUAAGGUGGAAGACAGUAGGGAUCACUGUUUCAAAAGGUAAGGUGGAAGACAGUAGGGAUCACUGUUUCAAAAGGUAAGGUGGAAGACAGCAGGGAUCACUGUUUCAAAAGGUAAGGUGGAAGACAGCAGGGAUCACUGUUUCAAAAGGUAAGGUGGAAGACAGUA